CGCGCGGUCCGGCCGCCCCGGCGCCCGGCGCGGGAGCGGAGCGGAGCGGGACGCCGAGUCCCGAGCGGCCGGCGGCCGGGGCUCCCCGCCCCUCCCUCCUCUCCGGCGGCGGCGGCGGCGGCGGCGGGCGGAGUGAGCUGCGGAGCCUGGAAUAUGGUCGGGGAAAUGGAAACGAAGGAGAAGCCGAAGCCCACCCCAGAUUACCUGAUGCAGCUGAUGAACGACAAGAAGCUCAUGAGCAGCCUGCCCAACUUCUGCGGGAUCUUCAACCACCUCGAGCGGCUGCUGGACGAAGAAAUUAGCAGAGUACGGAAAGACAUGUACAAUGACACAUUAAAUGGCAGUACAGAGAAAAGGAGUGCAGAAUUGCCUGACGCUGUGGGACCUAUUGUUCAGUUACAAGAGAAACUUUAUGUGCCUGUAAAAGAAUAUCCAGAUUUUAAUUUUGUUGGAAGAAUCCUUGGACCUAGAGGACUUACUGCUAAACAACUUGAAGCAGAAACAGGAUGUAAAAUAAUGGUCCGAGGCAAAGGCUCAAUGAGGGAUAAAAAGAAGGAGGAGCAGAAUAGAGGCAAGCCUAAUUGGGAGCAUCUCAAUGAAGACUUACACGUCUUGAUCACUGUGGAAGAUGCUCAGAACAGAGCAGAGAUCAAACUGAAGAGAGCCGUUGAGGAAGUGAAGAAAUUACUGGUACCUGCAGCCGAGGGAGAAGACAGCCUGAAGAAGAUGCAACUGAUGGAGCUCGCAAUUCUGAACGGCACCUACAGGGACGCCAACGUCAAAUCACCAGCCCUUGCCUUUUCUCUUGCAGCGACAGCCCAGGCUGCUCCGAGGAUUAUCACUGGGCCUGCGCCUGUUCUCCCACCAGCUGCCCUGCGUACUCCUACGCCAGCUGGCCCUACCAUAAUGCCUUUGAUCAGACAAAUACAGACCGCUGUCAUGCCAAACGGAACUCCUCACCCAACUGCUGCAAUAGUUCCUCCGGGGCCCGAGGCUGGUUUAAUCUACACACCCUACGAGUACCCCUACACGUUGGCGCCAGCUACAUCAAUCCUUGAGUAUCCUAUUGAACCUAGUGGUGUAUUAGAGUGGAUUGAAAUGCCAGUCAUGCCUGAUAUUUCAGCCCAUUGACUUGCUGGAUGAAGGACUAGAAUACAGCAGCUGUUAUAACACGACCAGUCAAUGUGGGACAAACUCUUUCCGUGCUGCCCCUUUGUUUUACCAGACAGAAUUUGAAUACUUUUUUUUCUUGAAUUGUAUGUGACCUUGGUGCCGCAUGCAUGCUGUGGACUCGUAGGACUUUGAUCUUUUAAGUUCUGGGUUUUUUUUCCAGCAUUAAUAAUGAUUUAUAAAAAUUUGAAAGUCUUUCAUGAACCCGGACACUAAGAUUUAAACUUGAAACUUCAUUGUUCAAUUAAAGAAAGCCACGAUGCUCUGUAUGUUAUCUGUGUGUGUGCACGCACUCAGGUGCCUUCUGUUUCAUGAGCAAAUACAUUUGAUUGUACAUGGUUUCCGUUUAUCUCUAAAUCGUUGUAUAAAGUACCUUAGGUCAGAAUUAUACUCUAGAUAGAGCUGUUGACGAGAGGCUUGUUUUCUGUUGCACAUUUCUUGAAGCAUUUUUAAAAUAACAUGUAACAUGUAACCUGUUUACGUUUUCCUUUCUGUUAACGCUCUGUCCCGCGGCCCCACGCCUGCUCCUUUAGUCUCAGAGCUCCUCUCUGCUGCACGCACAGCGUCUGUUCGAGGAGUUUGUUGCUUCCUGCAGGGCUGGCACUCUGAGCCACCAGCUGCUGUUCCAGCACUCUCGGUGCAAGAUCUUGCUGAUUUUGCCUCGUGCAAUUAUACUUGUACAAGAUUAGUUUAUCUAAAAUGCAAGAAGGGGUGAUGGACCAGUUUACUGCUUAGAAACAGCAAGAGGCACUGCAGUCUCUCAUUUUAAAGCAAUGUGUUUUUUGUUGUGUUGGGAAAUUUUUAUUUAUAAUACUUAAUUAUUAGACUGACAAAAUUAAAAGCGAAAUAUACAGAUACCUAAUUGGCCUUCAUAAAAUGAAUAAUAAUGAGUACUAAGUGACCAAAAUCCAUUCAGAGUCUUCCUUCUCGCUUUGCCACCUAAGCAGUAAAACAUGACAUUGACCACUUGGAGAACUGAGAAACUUAUUUCAAAUUGCUAAGUUAUAAUAAAUUUGCACACAGAUAACAUGCAUGAUAUAUAUCAAGUUUCACAUCCUAUUAUUUUAAAAUAAGCAGUGCCCUUCAAAACAGAUGCAGACAUGUGUGUUGGUGGUAGUGAGGAGAUUGGUAUUAGCAUCAAGUCUUCAUUGGUGACUAAUUUUUAAUUCCCUUCCUUUUAUCUUUAGGUAUGGCUUUCCCAACGAAAGGCUAAGAAUUCAAGAACGGUCUUAACUGAACCCUCAUCAGAUCUGAAUUUAACAAAUGCUUAGUCUCAGCAGCCUCCGGGGGGGUGGGGGGGAGCUUAGCCUAGCAGUCAGUGACUCACUUGCACUUUUUGCACACUGAUAGAAAGUAAAAGUAUGUUAUUAAUUUGGUUUAGUCUGUAAUCUUACAAAGUAACGGUGAUUUAUAAAGGAGUGUAUAGUGUACUGACUGCUAAGGGCACUACACUGUUUGCUUUACUAAUCACCUAAUUCAUUGCAGUUCAUACUUAUUGACUCAGAGUUUCGAACCACAAUCUGUAGGCUGUAAGAAUUGCUUUUAAACCUUUUUAAGCGAUAAACUCUGGAAGUGGUCUUAAGGUUAGCAAAUAAUUGUCAGUAUUAAGCAUGGCAUUAUUGAAGUGGUCCUGCUGCGAGAAAGGCACUUCAGUGAAUAUGUGACUAGUAAAGCUGAAAUAUGUUUGGAUCUAAUAGAGUUCACGAAACACUGUACCUUGGGAUUGUGAAUGAACGCGUAAAACAGGUUAAGGCCAAGAUGUUUGAGAUGAAUGCAAUAUUAAUAGACGCAUAUAUACGCAACAUAUUAUGGUUAAUUUUAAAACUACUGUGCCUUAACAUGUUUCUUAAGAGGAAACUUUUGUAGUAAAAUGAACCUUUGAAAUCCAUUUUGAUAAACCUGCUGUUUAAUGUUUGUUUUCUUUUCCCUUGUGAAUGUUUUCUAACUUUGUCUUGGUAAUUGCAAUUUAACUAGGUGCGGUGGCUACUAAAGUUCGAAGGCACGAUAUGCGAGUCCAUCCUUACCAAAGGAUUGUGACCGCAGACCGAGCCGCCACCGGCAACUAACCUAUGACCUUCUGACCUCUGAACUCUUCACCCAAUGAUGACCUGACCAUGCCUGCCUGCUGAUCAGUUAACUGGUAAUCGCCUUUGCUUGCCUGUCGUCAGUGCAGCGAGCUGAGGCACUUGUCCGUUCGUCUUACCAUCUAACCAAACAAAAGACAAAGAAAUUGUUGUCCUCCGACUCAGCUUUUGGUUUUUCUUUCUGUUUGGGUGAAAGUGGUUCUAGAACCUGCACUGAAUAGUAGUAAAGCAAUAAGGCCCAAUUCAUCCCACAGCACUGAUCAUCUUUUCACGUCCUACCCUAAGCGAACGGUAAGAAGGCCUCACUUCAGAAGGGGAGACAGAUGGCCCUUAACUACUCAGUGACAGAGGCAGUUACUGUGAGAGACUUGUAGGAACCUUCUUCUCAUAGCGAGCACAGCUCUCUGAAUGUACCGUGUGAUGAUGCAUCAUGCAUGGACCUUUGGUCAGGGACGCCAUUGGUGAAGUGACUUCAAAAAGUAUUCAAAAUUUGAUACGCUGUUUAGUCACUACAGUGCCCUCAAAGGGCAGAAGUUGCAGCCUUUUUUAUAUUGCCUGCCAAAAUUGGAAGUAUUAGCAGUGUGCCAUGAGAGAUCAGCCUGACAAGGAAUUUUGAGAAGUAGUGCAAAGAACAAAAACUGCAACACUAUUUUUAAAAAGAUAAAUAAUAUCUGAGUUAAAAUUACUGAACCUUUAUUUUACAACCUCCUUUAAAAACUAUACGAGAACAAGGUACAUGCAUUAUGUGUCACAUUACUGGGCAAACUGUUCAAAUAUUUUUUUUAAACCUCCCUGUAUAGAAAAAAACAAAAAUCAUUAAGGAUGUAAAAGCCAUGCUUGCCUAUUUGCUGUAUACAUGUAAUGAAAUUGUAGAUAAAAGUGUAGUGCAUUGAAACAAAUGAACAAAAAGUAGAUACUUUUACUAUACAAGGGUGCUGGUGCAGAAAAAAAUAUAUAUAUUUUUGGAAAUGUAGCAUUUUAUACUUUCAAGUGUUAUAAAAAAAAAAAGAAAAAGAACAAAGAAACCCUUUAUUUCAUUAAAUGAUUUUUUCUGGUGGUUGUCAAGAAACAAAAGACCAAAAGAGCCUUUUUGUCUUUCUUUUUUAUUUUUUAAGUAUUGGAAUAAGUCUAAAGAAAAGAAAGUGCCUUAUUUUCCUUCAUGGUCAUUUAGUCAAGUGUCUUGUAAGAUCAGCUCCUCCCUCAGAAUACAAGUUAAUGCAUGUUUACUCAGUCGCCCGCCCAGUAUGUGAAAGAAGAUUUGAGGGGAGACCAAUGAGUUGAUGGUUUGGAUUAUAUGAUUUUUGCCACGUACCUUGAUACAAAUUUGCCAAAUCUGAUACUGUGAAAAAUUUGAUAGCUUUUCUAAUGCCUGGCGAGUAAGUUUUAAAACAUCAUUCUUUUAAAAUCAUUACUGAGUGCUCUUGGUUACUGUGAUAUUUAAAGUUAGCCCAACAGGUUCUAAGAUGAAAAUUAUGUGUGAUCGGAACAUCAAUUUGCAGACAAAAUUAGAACUUUAUUUUAUUCAGAGAAGGAGGGGUGUGCUGAAUUCUUUCUUACUAAAUUGGAGAUAAAUAGUAUUCUUAGCAGACUUUUUCACAAAAAAUGAAUCUUUGUGAUUUUCCUUCAGGAUAACAGUAUUUUUUAAUGGCCCAAAUUUAACCAGACUUCUUUCUACCCUACCCGAUUACUUGGGUGGUCCGUUUCUUUGGUGGCUUUUAGUGACCCAAGCGGCCCCUCCCACCCCGCCCCCCCCCCCCCCCCCACACACACCUGUUUGUUUGUUUUCACUUUAAAAAAACUGGCAUCACUGUGCAUGUAAAUGCUCAACUACAUGUGACUUUAAGCUUCCGGUUUCUCACGAAUUUCAGUUUCGUAGUUGAAACGGUUUGUGCGCAGAGCCCGACCACGUCCGAACACUUGAGUAAAUCGCCCAUAACUGCUCAGUAUCAGAUGUGGCAGAUUUCAAGUGGCAGUGGAUCCCCAGCUCAUCGGCUCACUCCCUCCCGCAUCCCUUCACAGCUUCACAGUCAAAGGUCAGCAGUGAGCUCAGUAAGCACCUUCGUGGUGACCUCCGUCAUCUUGUCUCACUUGGAAACCGUUUUCAGUUCAUUUACUAUGCAAUAGACAUUCAUUGUUUUGUAUUCAGCUAGCGUUGGUUUCAUGUGCCACUGCUUUGUCUUUCUGUUACACAUACAGUCGUUUUGAUUUAUUUACGGUAUAUGCUGUGCCAUUUUGAUUUUUAUUUUGGUUGGUUGGUUGAAUAAAUUUGCGACACUCGAACACUUGAGGUGAUAGUAGUUUAAAACCAGUACCAGUAUUUGACCCAGUCUCAUCUCAACUGUGUUACACCUGGACAUUUUAGAUGUUUAUCAAAGGUCUUUUAUGGGGAAGAAAGUAAAUGUAUGGGAUAAAUGUGUGACGUUUCUAAGUAAUGUUGGCUCUGAACAAACUUUUGGAAACUUAGUUGAUAAAAUUUUGGAUCAACUGAAAAAAAAGCAUGACUUUUGAAAUCUCUGAAUGCCUUGGUUCUCAGUAUUAUCAUUCUUUAUUGAAUUUAUUUCUUAUUAAAAUAUGUAGUUUUUAAGACUUCUUUUCUGACAGUAUUAUGUAAUUUUUUAGCGUGGGUAGAUGGGAGUGUCGCUUGUAUGUUACCGUACAGCCGACAUGUAUUUUUGUCAAUUCUUUAUUAUCUUAGUAGUUUCAUGCUGUGUAUGUAUCAUAACCAACCUAUUGCCUAUGAGAAACAUGUAAGAUAAUGUAUUUACAGCCAUUGUUACAAGUUUAUAAUGUAUUUUUCUAUCUUGUUUUAUAUGUAUGUUAUAUAACAUUCAAAAAGAAUUUUUUUCUUGAUUGAGAAAAGGAUACAAAAUGCAGAAUCCACAAUUUUGAUAACUGAAAAUUGCCACUUGUUUUGCAGUACUUUAUUAUAUUGGGUGUCUUGUCUUUCUCGGGCUUUUAGUUUAGCUAAUGAAUGAAUACAUUAGACACUUUUGGGUUUUAGUUGGGAUUUUACAUAGCUUGCAUUUUAAUUCUUUGGUUCUUUGCUGUUUCUAUUAACCCAUAGCAUUAUUUUAAUAAAUGUUAUAAUACCAACCUA